CUUUUGAAAUGCAUGACAAAAAGGAGAUUUACCAAAACACUGAACAGCCAGGACGAACAAAAAACACACUUUAGCAUCUCUAAUUCUGGACAGUCCCUAAAAAGCCUCUAAAACAAGUACAGUUUUACUGUAAAUGAAAUGCUCUUCUUCUAUAUAAGGGACUUUCUCUGCUCUGUGUUUCUAGGAUGCUGACAAGGCCAAGUGCAGGAACACACCUGUGAUCAUCUGUCGUCAGCCAUCCUCUGCCCAGAUGCCAGGCUGGGAAUCACUGCCCUAGGACAAGCUCACUGGCCACAUCCACCCUCUGCUCUGCCCUAAAGGCCUUCCUGUGAAUUUGGGUCAUGGCUGAACUUCUUUCAUCCUCCCCCAUGGAUGACGAUGAGGAGGAUUACAACAGAGACAAAAUAAGCACCCAGCUGAUAACCGAAGAAACAAAGAGGGCUGCCAGCUCCAGCCUGUCGCCCUCACAUUACCAGAAAAAAAGACACAGAGCUGUUUGGUGAAGUGUUGAUCCCCAUGUUUUUACUCCGUCUUUUCACACAGACAAAGAAAAGGCUGCUCAAAAACACCGUCAAAAGAUAAUCCUCUCAAAUUCUGCCUAUCAAAUGGAUUUCAGAAUAAAAUGUUAUUCAUUUUUGAGAUAUUUUGUGCUGUUGGCAAACAGUUUAAUCCAGCGCAAAUCCUUCAGCAUGAGAAAUCAAUCAAAUCUUUAAAGCAGCAAAAGGGUUAAUCUGUUUAGCAGGAGGCCGAAUGUGCCCAUAAACAGCCAGGGACAUUCCUUUGAGCAUCAUUUGUUCUUUAUGUCAUUGUCUGAUAAUCUUUAAAAAGGAUAAAUGUCUAGAAUGAAUAGAUCAGACUGACAAGUGUAACGCUAGUAGAUCUGUGAUUCAGAGCGCCACUGUCGUCCUAAAACUGGGGAAAAAACAAAGAGGUGAAAUGAUAUCUCAAUCAUAAGCACUUACAUCACAAAUACAAGCUUCAAGUUCAGCUCAUGCUCAUAUUUCAGAGUUUUAUACACACAGAUAUGAAGUUUACUGGGUAUUCCUCUUGACGUGAUUGGGCAUGUUGCAGAAACUGACAGAGGUAACCUUGCAUUGUCCAGGUUCCAUCUUUGAUUUGGCGGCUCCAUCUUGCAAAGCUUCAAACCUUUAACCAACAGCAGCCAGAAAAGCUAUGUCAGUGUCCUUUUUUAAAAUCCCUUUUAAAAACAUAUUUCUAUUGGAAAGCCUUCUUAUGAACCAUCCUGUGUUUUAUCUACGAUCCCUUGUCUGUAUGAUUGUUUUUCCAUUGGUCAAGGUUUUUAAUAUUUUAUCCCAUUUCUCCUUCCUUUGUAUUCCUCUAUUUAGUCUGUCAAACUUGUUACUAUUAUUUUUUUUUAAAUCAAUGAUUAUUUUUCUUUUUAUUGUGUUUUUUUUACUGAUGAACUUUUCU